rnacentral:rRNA from 1 species
GUGAGGAAUAUUGGUCAAUGGGCGAGAGCCUGAACCAGCCAAGUCGCGUGAAGGAAGAAGGAUCUAUGGUUCGUAAACUUCUUUUGCAGGGGAAUAAAGUGCAGGACGUGUCCUGUUUUGUAUGUACCCUGAGAAUAAGGAUCGGCUAACUCCGUGCCAGCAGCCGCGGUAAUACGGAGGAUCCGAGCGUUAUCCGGAUUUAUUGGGUUUAAAGGGUGCGUAGGUGAUUUGAUAAGUCAGCGGUGAAAGUUUGCAGCUUAACUGUAAAAAUGACGUUGAAACUGUCGGACUUGAGUGUAAAUGAGGUAGGCGGAAUGCGUGGUGUAGCGGUGAAAUGCAUAGAUAUCACGCAGAACUCCGAUUGCGAAGGCAGCUUACUAAGCUACAACUGACACUGAAGCACGAAAGCGUGGGGAUCAAACAGGAUUAGAAACCCCGGUAGUCC